GCAAUUUAAUAUUAAUAAUUACGCUCGCUCGAUAACACUGAAUCUGUUUUGAAUAUUUUAUUUCAACUGCAUUUAUAUUUUAUAUAGUUAUCAUUAAUAAUUAUUAUAAUACGGUUAAGAAUGCCGAUUGCGUAACAUAAGCGCAACGAAAACUUCAGCAAUAAUUUAUUUUACAGUUAUAAUCACGAGUAUAACUUUAACCAUUUGACUUAAUAAGGCAGGACAUAAGAAUAAGCAAGUUUACAAAAGCUGUCGCGUUCGCAUUGACGCAUAUCAGAUAUGCAUCUGGUAAUGAUGGAUUCUCCAAAAUAGGACAUGGCAAUCCAGCUAACUUGAGGGCUGUAUUGGAUCUAGGUAUAAAGGCAUCUUUCCUCUUUUUUCGGCCUGUUAACAAUGUCUUUGGGGGU